rnacentral:rRNA from 1 species
UACGGGGGGGGCAAGCGUUGUUCGGAAUUACUGGGCGUAAAGGGCUCGUAGGCGGCCAACUAAGUCGGACGUGAAAUCCCCAGGCUCAACCUGGGAACUGCGUCCGAUACUGGAUGGCUUGAAUCCGGGAGAGGGAUGCAGAAUUCCAGGUGUAGCGGUGAAAUGCGUAGAUAUCAGGAGGAACACCGGUGGCGAAGGCGGCUACCUGGCCUAAGACUGACGCUGAGGUGCGAAAGCGUGGGGAGCGAACGGG